GCUUCUGCCCUGGCCCCAGAGAGUUCCUCUGCUGGCUUCUGUGGCACAUCUGAGGAAGAAAAGGUUUAUGCAGCAGCUGCAAGGAGCUGUGAGUUUUGGGUAGGUACAGGAGCUAAAUUUCCAUGUUGAUCAUAGGAAGAUGCUGGUGCGGGGAGCAGGACAUACAGAGAGAACUGCAUUAAGACAGGAAACCACGUCUCCCUAAGGAGGUGGGAAAAGGACCUGAUCAAGCACUUACCAGCUCUUGGCUGCUUUCUGGAAGAUUCCACUCUCCAGUGUCCUCAACACUGCAUUUCUUAGCUCUGUUAAGGCCUUAAUUCUCUGCCUUCAUUUCCUUUGUUGUGCACUAUGUGUCUGAAGACAUAGAUUUGAGAAGCUGGAGAGGUGUGGGGCAGUGCAAGGCUGGCUCUGGAGGCCACAUCUGCAGGGAGAGCCCAUCUGGGAGGUCAGAGCAUGGUCCUGUGAUCUGCAAGAGCACUGAAGAAACAUGAAGGCAUGGAGGAUCUAAUUGGAGGAUUUAAUUGGAUCUGUGGAUGUGUGGAUAACUGUAAGAGGGAAGAGAAUUCUGCAGGACUGCUAUGCCCUCGUGUACCACACUCAUGGAAAAGAAGAGGAGCAGAAGAAAAUGCUUCCCAAGCCUGAGGCCAGCUGCAGAAGCAUCUCAUCAACUCAGCAGCAGUAGUUUGUGAUUUUAACUCUGAUUUGCUCCUCUACAGCCUGACAGCCAGCCUGUGUGAUCUCCUGUGCCACUGUUACCCUUAGAUCAUCUCACUGCCUGGAGCAUACAUGGCCUAAUUCAGG